rnacentral:rRNA from 1 species
AUGGUCAAGCGCAAAAGGGCACACGGUGGAUGCCUUGGCGCUCGCAGGCGAUGAAGGGCGUAGUAAGCUGCGAUAAGCCCCGGGAAGCCGCUUACAGGCGUUGAUCCGGGGGUGCCCGAAUGGGGAAACCCGCGGCAGGUAAUGCUGCCGCAUCCACAUCUGAAUCCAUAGGGUGUGGAGGCCAACCCGGGGAAGUGAAAUAUCUCAGUACCCGGAGGAAGAGAAAGCAACCGCGAUUCCCUGAGUAGCGACGAGCGAAACGGGAACAGCCCAAACCAGCUGUCCGUGAUAGCGUGUAUGCGUUGGACGGUUGGGGUUGUGGGGGUGAACUGGAUCGAGAUACACCUCGGUCGGGGAGUUACCAAGAUACGGCAUAGGCGAAUGACCUGGAACGGUCGGCCAUAGACGGUGAUAGCCCGGUAGCCCAAAUGGCGUAUCCUCCUCGAGUUCGCUUCCCGAGUACCAUGGGGCCCGUGAAACCCUGUGGGAAACUGGGAGGACCACCUUCCAAGGCUAAAUACUCGCGAGCGACCGAUAGUGCACAAGUACCGUGAGGGAAAGGUGAAAAGCACCCCGGUGAGGGGAGUGAAAGAGAACCUGAAACCGUGUGUCUACAAGCGGUGGAAGCACGGUGAUCGUCGGGGCAACUCGAUGAUCUGUGCGACUGCGUACCUUUUGCAUAAUGGGCCGACGAGUUACUCUACGUAGCAAGGUUAAGCCGUGAGGCGAAGCCGUAGCGAAAGCGAGUCUGAAUAGGGCGUUGAGUUACGUGGAGUAGACCCGAAGCCGGAUGAGCUACCCAUGGCCAGGGUGAAACCGGUUUACCAGCCGGUGGAGGCCCGAACCCUUCAAGGUUGAAAACUUGUGGGAUGAGCUGUGGGUAGGAGUGAAAAGCUAAGCGAAUUCGGUGAUAGCUGGUUCUCCCCGAAAGAUAUUUAGGUAUCGCCUCCCGAGGUGGCUGAUGGCGGUAGAGCACUGGAUGGACAAGGGGCCCCACCAGGCUACCAACUCCAACCAAACUCCGAAUGCCAUCAAGACCGAUCGGGGGAGACAGACUGUGGGGGCUAAGCUCCAUGGUCGAGAGGGAAACAGCCCAGACCGCCAGCUAAGGUCCCAAAAUCCCGGCUAAGUGGGAAAGGUUGUCGAGACGCCUAGACAGCCAGGAGGUUGGCUUAGAAGCAGCCAUCCUUUAAAGAAAGCGUAACAGCUCACUGGUCAAGUGGCUCGGCGCCGAAAAUCCAACGGGGCUCAAGCCGGGUACCGAAGCUGCGGCUCUCUCCAUCUGGAGAGGGGGUAGGGGAGCGUUCCCUGCUGCGUUGAAGGCGGAUCGUAAGGACUGCUGGAGCGCAGGGAAGUGACUAUGUCGGCAUAAGUAACGAUAAAACGGGUGAAAAACCCGUUCGCCGAAAACCCAAGGUUUCCUGGGGAAGGGUAAUCCGCCCAGGGUUAGUCGGUCCCUAAGCCGAGGCCGUCAGGCGUAGGUGAUGGGAAACGGGUUAAUAUUCCCGUACCACCGGCAGGGCGUUAUUCAGCGAUGGGGUGACGGAGAAGGGUAGACCAGCCGACGACUGGUUGAGUCGGUUGAAGCCGGUAGGAGGAUGGCCCAGGCAAAUCCGGGCUGUCGCUAACUCCGAGAGGCGAGUACGAGAGGCCUAGCCUCAUAAAGUGGUUGAGCCCAUGCUCCCAAGAAAAACCUCUAGUGAGUCCUGUAGGUGACCGUACCGGAAACCGACGCAGGUGGGUGGGGUGAGCAACCCGAGGCGCUUGAGAGAACCGUCGUUAAGGAACUCGGCAAAAUGACCCCGUAACUUCGGGAGAAGGGGUGCCUCAUUAGGCUGACAGGGCUUGCCCCUGGAGGUCGAAGAGGCCGCAGAGAAAUGGCUCAGGCGACUGUUUACUUAAAACACAGGACUCUGCUAACGCGCAAGCGGAUGUAUAGGGUCUGACGCCUGCCCGGUGCUGGAAGGUUAAGGGGAGGGGUUAGUGGCGGCAACGCUGCGAAGCUCUGAACUGAAGCCCCAGUAAACGGCGGCCGUAACUAUAACGGUCCUAAGGUAGCGAAAUUCCUUGUCGGGUAAGUUCCGACCUGCAUGAAUGGCGUAACGACUUGAGCGCUCUCUCAACGACGGACUCAGUGAAAUUGUAGUGCCAGUGAAAAUGCUGGCUACCCACGACGGGACGGAAAGACCCCGUGCAGCUUUACUAUACCUUGUCAUUGGAGUUUGAUGUUGGAUGUGUAGGAUAGGUGGGAGGCGUAGAAGCGGGAGCGCUAGCUCUCGUGGAGCCACCGUUGAAAUACCACCCUUCCUUCAUUGAGCUUCUAACCUCAGACCGUUAGCCGGUUGGGGGACAGUGAUAGGCGGGUAGUUUGACUGGGGCGGUCGCCUCCUAAAAUGUAACGGAGGCGCCCAAAGGUCCCCUCAGGCUGGAUGGAAACCAGUCAUCGAGUGCAAAGGCAUAAGGGGGCUUGACUGCGAGAGGGACACCUCGAGCAGGUGCGAAAGCAGGGCUUAGUGAUCCGGCGGUUCCAUGUGGAAGGGCCGUCGCUCAACGGAUAAAAGCUACGCCGGGGAUAACAGGCUGAUCCCCCCCAAGAGUUCACAUCGACGGGGAGGUUUGG